ACCUACGCCUCGACGCAGACCAUUUUCACCAUCCUCAAGGCGCAGUGGUACUACCUCGAGCAGAACAAGUAUGUCGAAUGGGACGUCACUGCCCGCGCCGACGUGGUGGUGCCAGGCCAGCACGAAACGGCGAUCGCAGUUCCUUGGGGAGGCACCGCGCAUCCGGUCUGGUUCAAGAACGAUCCGCGCGUCUCGAACUGCCGUGUGCUCGGCGGCGUUCUUGCCCGCCCGGUGAUGGAAGGCGUGGUGCAAACCACGCAGAUGGUGAAAGAGAAAAUCAAACCUCUUCCGCCGGCGGAACAAGAGAAGGCGCUGGCCG
rnacentral:misc_RNA from 1 species